UGAAGAGGAGGAGAUAGGAGAUCUGAUUAAAACCAGAGAGAGACGGGACUAUUGUGGAUCCUCUGGGGAGCCUCAACAACAUCACGAUGCAGAGCAGAGUCUCUCCACAUCAAAACAUCUCAAGAAACACCUACAGAGAUCCACAGGGAAGAAAUCUCACUGCUGCUCUGACUGUGGGAAGAGUUACUCAAGAUCAGAUUCACUUAAACUACACCAGAGAAUUCACACAGGUGAUAAAUCUCACUGCUGCUCUGAUUGUGGGAAAUGUUGCAAAUCUUCAUCAGAACUUAAAAUACAUCUGAGAAAUCACACGGGAGAAAAACCUUACUGCUGCUCUGACUGUGGGAAACAUUUCUCAAGAUCAGAUUCACUAAAACUGCACCAGAGAAUUCACACAGGUGAUAAAUCUCACUGCUGCUCUAAUUGUGGGAAAUGUUGCAAAUCUUCAUCAGAACUUAUUAUACAUCUGAGAAAUCACACAGGAGAGAAACCUUACUGCUGCUCUGACUGCGGGAAAUGUUUCUCAAGAUCAGAUUCACUAAAAGUUCACCUGAGAAUACACACUGGAGGGAAAUCUCACUGCUGCUCUGAAUGUGGGAAGAGAUUCAACUCUUCAGUAGACCUUAAAAUGCAUCAAAGAAUUCACACAGGAGAGAAGCCUUUUGGCUGUGAUCACUGUGGGAAUAGUUUUACUCAGCAAAGCAACCUAAAAUCACACCAGAGAAUACACACAGGAGAGAAACCUUAUGGCUGUGAUCAAUGUGGAAAGCGUUUUUCUCAGCAAAGCAACCUGAAAUCACACCAGAGAAUACACACUGGGGAGAAACCUUAUGGCUGUGAUCAAUGUGGGAAGAGUUUUACUUUGUCAAGCUGCCUGAUAGUGCACCAGAGAACACACACUGGAGAGAAACCUUUUAGCUGUGAUCAAUGUGGGAAAUGUUUUGUUACAUCUGGCAAUCUGAUUGUACACCAGAGAACACACACAGGAGAGAAACCUUAUAGCUGUAAUCAAUGUGGGAAGAGUUUUACUCAGUCAAGCAGCCUAAUAGUACAUGAGAGAACACACUCACAGUAGAGAAGCUUCACCACUGUUCAGAUUGUGGGAAAAGCUUUUCAACAUCAAACACUUUGAAGCUGCACCAGAGAACACACACAGGAGAAAAACCGUAUAGCUGUAAUCAAUGUGUGAAUGGUGUUACUUGGCUAAACAGCCUGGUAUCACACUAGAGAACACACACAGGAGAGAAAUCUCUUAGCUGUGGUGAAUGUGACAAGAGAUGCUCUGAUAAAAGAUCUCUGAUCAAACAUCAGACAAUACAUGAAGGAGAUGUUUCAUGAUAUCAAUUAAAUAAUGUCACAAUAUUGAAUGUUUUAACUAUUAGCCUUGUAUUUUAAUGAUGUCACAAUGCAGAAUGUUUUAACUAUCAUCUAUUGCUAUUAGCCUCACGGGAAAAAUCCAGGCUCUGAAUUGAAAGAGUACUAUUUAUAUGAUUUAACAGAAAGUGACUAACAAAAAAAGUGUUCCGUUACACUUACCACGUUGGCGACCAACUUGAAUCAAAAUGUAGCUAGCUGUUUUCUACACAUUGGCCUCUAACCAGGGAUGUUCCAAUUAUUCCCAGAUUCCGUGUGGUUUUUGAGCUGUUAGUUUUAACAGGACGUGCAACCUCAUCUCCCUCCUCUCGGCACAAUUGAUUUCAACAUGAUAUUGAUGAGUUAUGACCAAUAAGUGUUGCGUUCCUUUUUGUUCAGCGACGCCUACAUUUAAAUGCAUCACUCCCAAAUGUAGCUGACUGUCUUCUGCAGGUUGUCCUCUAACUAGUGAGGUUAAAGAUAUCUUCCAUUUCCAUGUGUUUUUUUUUUAGUUGUUGUUAGUUUUAACAGCAUGUACAACCUGAUUUUCCCCCCUAAUCGAUAUCAGUGAUUUAUUGCUACUUGUCAAAACAACAGCGUUUUUGGUGCUUGUGCAGUUUAUAAGGAGCUUGUUUAAAUAAAUACAAGUAAUACGA